AGGCUGAGCGCGGCGGCGGAGCUGGGGUCGCCGUUGACGGUGCCGGAGUAGAAGCAGCGGGACAGGUCGUCGCCCGGCGGCGGCGGGGACGGGCCGCCCAGAUUUUGUUUGGCUUCCAAUUUGCCAGAAGGGAAUGGAAGAGCAUGCUCCAGCCAGGGAACGCUGCUGUCCACUGAAAAAUGUAUUUGGAUGGAGGAACUCUUUUUCAUGGAUGGAUUGUGGCUUUUGGCAGCAGAGGUGGCAGGAAGCAGUUGCCAUAACUACUAUACCAUUAAAAAAGAAAAAAAAAAGGUACGGGAACACUGUCCCCAAGGUCCCCAGGACCCCCAGUUACCAUGGUUUGAAGCCUGAAACAUACGGAACAGUGGAAAGUAAGGGCAUCAUCCAAAUGUGAAUAAAGACAAGUGGUGCCAACGCUAACUGAUGAGCUGACUGCAACGAGAUAAUUGAAAGUACCCUACUGUUCAAAGCUCUUCAUAGUGUAAAAUACUAAAGACAUGGUGAAAAGCGAGGAAGCACAGAUGUUUUUUAUAAAGGUCUCUGAAGGCCUGAUCUAUCAAGAAAACAGAUUUCCUAAACAUCAUCUUCCUGAAAUCACACCAAUAGACUCAACAAUAAAACCCAUUCCCAGACAAUAAGCCCUUUAGGAUGUGGGCUAUCUGCACUGAAGCACGCAUGACUCCAGCACGGCAGGGGCUGAAGUCAGCAGAAGUUUCUGAGCGCUACUGCAUGCCCAAAGGCAACAAGAGGCUACGAAAUACGGAGCUGUAAUGUAUAAGUUAUUUUAAUAGAUGAUAUAUGGAAGAGCAACAUACCAGCAUGAUCACAUAGCGGAAGACUGACCUAGGAAGAAGGUUAAAUAAAUGUUGAGAGUGAGGGCAAUCAUGGGUUCUUUAAUGUUCUUCUCCAGACCUCUCUGUGAACUAGGGAGGUGUACGAAGCAAUGAAGCAUCAUUAUUUUACAGACCACGGGCUGAUGAUCACAAGGACUUAGACAAUGUCUACAUACCAUGCCCAAGCUAAUUUAGAUACCCUUAGAUACCCUAAGGAGGCCUACCCUGAAGGAGCUGCUUAAAGUCACAAAAGACACCAAUAUGGCACAACAUGGAGCUGAACUCAUGAGUUCAGGCAAGAAUCCAGAAGAAUCGACAACCUUCAUCAAGGUAGAAAUGUUCAGGAAAUGAACUCCAAAUCGACAGAGCCAAAAUAAUACGGAAGCCUUAAUAUAUAAAAAGCUUUCCGCUUACCUCUCCAAUAUAAACUACUUCUAAAAGACUGUUUUCUUUACGGAUGAAGAAUCUACUAUAUAACUGCUCCCAGAAUUGUUUCAUUUUAAUCAAGGUGUUUUAAAACCACAACAAAAAAGUAAUUCCACUUCAGUUGUCACUUCCAUCAGGGCACGUCAUUAACUUAUUGGCAUAACAAUAACCUAUUGGUCUAGCCUUUUCCCGAUUCUCUCUGUAAUAUAUGUAUUUGUCAUCUUAUUUCACUUUCUAUUUGUAUAGCAUGACAGUAAUAAAACUAUUUUUGUGACAGUA